AUACGUAGGUGGCAAGCGUUGUCCGGAAUUAUUGGGCGUAAAGGGAGCGCAGGCGGGAAGGUAAGUCGGUCUUAAAAGUGCGGGGCUCAACCCCGUGAUGGGAUCGAAACUAUCUUUCUUGAGUGCAGGAGAGGAAAGUGGAAUUCCUAGUGUAGCGGUGAAAUGCGUAGAUAUUAGGAGGAACACCAGUGGCGAAGGCGACUUUCUGGACUGUAACUGACGCUGAGGCUCGAAAGCGUGGGUAGC
rnacentral:rRNA from 1 species